rnacentral:rRNA from 1 species
UAAGUAGGUAGUGAAAUCCUGGGGCUCAACCCUUUAAACAUUAUCUAAACUGCAAAGCUAGAAUGUAGAAGAGGUAGCUGGAAUUCCUAGUGUAGGAGUGAAAUCCGUAGAUAUUAGGAGGAACACCGAUGGCGUAGGCAGGCUACUGGUCUAUUAUUGACGCUAAGGCACGAAAGCGUGGGGAGCAAACGGGAUUAGAUACCCCGGUAGUCCACGCCGUAAACUAUGGAUGCUA